GUAGGUGGCAAGCGUUGUCCGGAAUUAUUGGGCGUAAAGCGCGCGCAGGCGGUUCUUUAAGUCUGAUGUGAAAGCCCACGGCUCAACCGUGGAGGGUCAUUGGAAACUGGAGAACUUGAGUACAGAAGAGGAAAGCGGAAUUCCACGUGUAGCGGUGAAAUGCGUAGAGAUGUGGAGGAACACCAGUGGCGAAGGCGGCUUUCUGGUCUGUAACUGACGCUGAGGCGCGAAAGCGUGGGGGAGCAAACAAGAUUAGAUACCCUGGUAGUCCACGCCGUAAACGAUGAGUGCUAAGUGUUAGGGGGUUUCCGCCCCUUAGUGCUGCAGCUAACGCAUUAAGCACUCCGCCUGGGAGUACGGCCGCAAGGCUG
rnacentral:rRNA from 1 species